ensembl:snoRNA SNORA58 small nucleolar RNA, H/ACA box 58
AGGCAUACCCGUAGACCUUGCCUGACUGGGCUCAUGGCCAGGCAGGGGGGACAGUGUAUGCAAGAGUAAUUUGGAGUUUGUGCCAGCUCUAGCCAGCUUAAUCAGUGGCUGGGUAAACUGCAGUACUCCAAACAUUC